UCUGAGCAGAAACAAAAAUGACAGAAAUAACCAGCAGUGCCCAAAUCCACAGAAUUCCCGACAGCAGCAAAAACAAGUACAGAGGCUUAAAGGUUGAAUAAUGUUUAAAGGUAGAAUAAUGCUGGGAUGUUCAAGAAGCAAAGAAGGUUAAAGGAGCACAAGUGAAAUCAACUGAGGGAAGAGCAUUUGGGAGGACCAGAUUAUACAAUGAGAGCAAAAGAGACAAAAUGCUACCCUCAUGAAUGAAUAUUCCACGGAUGUAUGAUGAAGCGCAAGAACUGAGGGCAAGCUGACUGGGUGGGCAGCUCACCAGCCACGGCUCCAGAAGAUAGGUUGGAAGCAAAGGUCAUCUUUCCUUUGGAAAGAGUUUCAUGCCCCAAGCCAAAUGGACAAUGAUCAGGAGCAGAGGGACUUUGUGUCUCCUUUCUUCAGCCAAGUCUCUUGCAACCUGUUUGCUAUUU